GCGUUCUUGUUGCUCAAAAGCACGAAUUGUUGCUGUUCCUGCAAGUGAUUCUGCAAAAUGGUGGAGGAUUGGAGCUCGUUGUAUUCCAGCUAGACGUGCCAGUUCUCUUGCAGUUGAAGCUUACAUACCCGAUUUAAGAUUCUUCCUGCUGGGGUGGAGUCAAAGAACGCCAUCGGAGCACGGAGAACACUGUGCAGCAUAUUGCUGAAGAGCUUUUCUGAUGUCAACAACCCAGUAAUAGCCACUAAAGAGGCUCGGAUCAACACACAAAAUGAACUUCCGACAGCAAGAAGUGUAUAUACAAGUAAUAUGAAAUGCAUCCCAAGUUUGGGCUCAACUGCGCCAGUCGGACAAGCCCAUGCCAUCCAGUAGUUGCUGGCUAUUUGUAACACUUGAAAUGAUGAUUGUGCGAGAAGAAUAAUUGGAACUAAGACACCACCUUUCACGGUGGUCAAGUAAGACAAAUCAACCAAGUCAUACGUCAAGGAGAAAAUUUCUUCAUCAAGCAUAUUUGGGAAGCAGGGUGUCAGUCUGAUAUGUCUACAUUGCCCAUAGAAUAAAAAAGGCAAGUAAUUUUGGACACUAACCUAACACAAGUCUUUAGUCUUUGUCUUUUUCUCUUUCGGAGCCAGCACAUUGUUAUACUUUGUUGAAAUUAUUUUUUGAUUGUUCUCAGAUUCUGUCUUAUUUGUUAGCCUCUUUAGGAAUAUUUUAUAUUAAAAGAACCUAUCAAUUCUCAAUUUUGCCAAUUUAUUAUUUUUAUAUCGAGAGCCUGCAGAUCCUUUACAAUCACUUUUUGAAGAGUAACAGAUUGGUAAAUUUUCAUGGGAAUAACUUUGGCUGAACAUGUUCCAUGUGAAAAGGAAUACUGGGGCAAAUGCAUUUUCAUGUACUGAUGCUUUCUAAAAAUGCACAAUUAGUACAGUAAAUCCCAGAAGUGAGACCCAGCUGUGCCCUUCCCCCCCGCCCCAAAGAGAAGGAGAAUUUUUGUUCUUGGAACUUGGAUUUAGCAGGUAGAUCUAAAUCCAAUAAAUGACUUCCCUUUCAGGAUCAAAAACUUCAGCACCAUAUUUUUCUAUCCUGCACAUGUACACGGAUGAGCUUUGACAGGAAUUGGCUAUAAUAUUAAAACCAAAAGAUCUAACCAGCUAUGUUGCGCGGACAUUUCAAUUGGAUCAGCGUGUUCAUGUUUGACAUGUGUCGGAUCCUGAUACUUCUCUAACGCUCAUGACCAUUUUUCUUUCUUUAUUGGAAGUAUUAUGUAUUUUAAUUCAAACUCAUUAUCAAGCCCUUGUUUGAACUCC